CAUUUCUCUUAAUAUUAGCCUCUUUUUAAAUUUCUCCAGGCAUUCCACAUAGUGCUGACCAGCAUAUGGGAAGAGGAAGACAUGUCCCCAGAACUCAAAGAUGCCUCCAUCGUAGCCCUAUACAAGAACAAAGGCACACGAGCAGCCUGUGACAACUACAGAGGCAUCUCACUACUCUCCACUGCCAGAAAGACCCUCGCCCGUGUUAUAUUCAUCAGACUCCUGUCAUCUGUUUCAGAGCAGAACCUGCCUGAAUCACAAUGUGGCUUCCGACCAGAUCGCAGCACCAUCGACAUGGUCUUCAUGAUCACCAGAAUUUUUCAGAAGCUCUCCUCUUCUUGUCUCCCAAACAGCCAUUUCAUAUGAGAGAGAACAUUUUUAAAGAGAAAAAGAGGAAAAAAGUAGAAAAAUCAUAUGAAAUGUCCAACAUACAACUCCCAGGAAUGUGUAUGAAUGUCACUGAGAAGGCCAUGUGGUGUUUUGGGGUUUGCUGCAAUCUUCACAAAAAGGAACAAAUUGAAAUAUUCAAUAUGACUCUUUGCCAUUUCCAGUUUCUUGGGGCCACAGACUCUUCAAAGUCCAGUGGCAAGGCAAAAGUCAGAAUGACAGGGAUGGCCUGGGACAUAGUGGAUGCCCUUGACAUCUUCAAUAUCGGACCAAGCUGUGAUUAUGACCAGGACCCUGCUGAAUCGAUAUGGAGUUGAACUCAACUGCUCUCUUCUCUCCUCUGUUCCACAUGGAAGGGAUGGAAAUCAGCUACUUUACAGGGGAAGUUUGAAAAGGUCACUGCUGCUGCCGAGCUCUGCAGGGUGAGAGCGGGAGGAGGGGGGUUUUGCAAGGAUUCCAGAUCCCACUUUUCCCCCUCCUUCUUUCCUUCUCUCUCUCUCCUGACAGGUCUAGGAAGCUUUCUCCAGCUGCAUCCGGACUCCCAUUGCAGACUGUCAAACAUUAAAAUAGAUGACCAAAGGAAGUGCUUUCUUUUAGUUUAGACAACUUCUGACACCGGGGAGGGCCUCAUCUCUCUGAAAUGGGCUCAAUGUGACCCUACCUAAAGGCAACGGGAUGGAAGACAUGAUCCUUUCUGGUUCAAGACUUAAUCCUAGAUAUAAACUUUUUUCCACUGAGGCAAUGAAUGCUGAGAGAAUCCAGCAAUCAUUUGGUUAAGAUGAUUGAUGGAACCAACUAAACUAGGUAAUUCCAGACAGUUCCCUCUGGGGCUCGAGUUAUCUAGUUUGACUGUCAGUAUCAAAUUAGCUGGGUAAUUAGCAAGUUUCCAUUUCACUUUGUACGGUGUAAACACAGAUUAAGAUACUAGAACAGGUGAUAGUGGGAAAAUGACAAAAUCCUGUUUCCUGCGGAUUUUUCUUUUCUUUUUCUUUCUUUCAAGGAUAAGUAAUCCUCUAUGUGUCUGGGCUGAACCAUGGACCAUGCUGGUUUAUGGGAAGAGGGAUGGAGAAGGUGCCUUUGAAUUCUCAUUCUAGUUGGAGGAUUUUUUGAUGUAUACAUCAGUUAUGCCAGAUGAAUUGGCCCAGAUCCCUUGGGCAUCAGUUGGAGUGUCACUGGAGGUAUCAUGUUGAGAGAGUGUCCUCAUAGCUACCUUCAGAGAACUUUUUAACCUCACAGCCUGGAGAGAAAUAGCGAUUUCCUUCUAACCUGGAAAAAGAAGGAAUUCAUUGAAAGAGACUUGGUGUGUAUAGCCUAGAA
ensembl:lncRNA